rnacentral:rRNA from 1 species
GACGAACGCUGGCGGCGUGCUUAACACAUGCAAGUCGAACGGAAAGGCCCCCUUGUGGGGUACUCGAGUGGCGAACGGGCGAGUAACACGUGAGUAACCUACCCUUCUCUUUGGGAUAACUUCAGGAAACUGGGGCUAAUACCGGAUAGGAGCUCCUGCUGCAUGGUGGGGGUUGGAAAGUUUCGGCGGUUGGGGAUGGACUCGCGGCUUAUCAGCUUGUUGGUGGGGUAGUGGCUAACCAAGGCUUUGACGGGUAGCCGGCAUGAGAGGGUGACCGGCCACAUUGGGACUGAGGUACGGACCAGACUCCUACGGGAGGCAGCAGUGGGGAAUAUUGCACAAUGGGCGGAAGCCUGAUGCAGCAACGCCGCGUGCGGGAUGACGGCCUUCGGGUUGUAAACCGCUUUCGCAUGUGACGAAGCGUGAGUGACGGUAAUGGGUAAAGAAGCACCGGCUAACUACGUG